UACGAAGGGGGCUAGCGUUGCUCGGAAUCACUGGGCGUAAAGGGUGCGUAGGCGGGUCUUUAAGUCAGGGGUGAAAUCCUGGAGCUCAACUCUGGAACUGCCUUUGAAACUAGAGGACUUGGGUACGGGAGAGGUGAGUGGAAUUCCGAGUGUAGAGGUGAAAAUUCGUAGAUAUUCGGAAGAACACCAGUGGCGAAGGCGGCUCACUGGCCCGUUACCGACGCUCAGGCG
rnacentral:rRNA from 1 species